ensembl:lncRNA
UUGAUAUAAAUGACCCAUUGGGUUUUUAUGCUUUUUUUAGGCUUGUUCUAAUUCUCUAGAGACAUAAGCAUGGCUGCUUGCUCUAAAAUAGGAACAAACACUCGAGAGAUUCAGACUUAGCCAGAGGAUCCCUUACACUUAAUUACAUCAGUGUUCCUUCAUUGUCUAUUUCAUGUUCCAGCUGAGGUCUCUACUCAACCGAAGACUUCAGCAAACAAGACCAGAGAUUUCCUAAGCCAUCCUUCACACCAGAGCUGCUGGGAACUACUGUGAACAGGAUGUUUAUGUGUGCCUAGAAAGAGAUGACUUUCCACUUAGAUGGCAGAAGAAACAAGCAGAGACCACACCAUUGUACCAAUAAGAUGAGAUGGACACACUGAGGGCUGGGUCAGGGAUGUCAUGGUGUUUAGAAUGACUCCUCUACACAUGAAAGAAAUCUCCAAGAGGUCUUGUUGGUCACUUCUGCCAAUGAGAAACAUCUGAACGAGUGAACGUAUUGUCCAAAUAUGGUGAUAUAGUCAGUUAAAGACU